rnacentral:rRNA from 1 species
GACAGAGGAUGCAAGCGUUAUCCGGAAUGAUUGGGCGUAAAGCGUCUGUAGGUGGCUUUUUAAGUCCGCCGUCAAAUCCCAGGGCUCAACCUCGGAUCGGCCGUGGCGACUCGUGGGCUGGAGCACUGUAGAGGCGGGUGGAAUUCCGGGUGUAGCGGUGGAAUGCGUAGAGAUUCGGAAGAACACCAGUGGCGAAGGCGGCCCGCUGGGCAGUGGCUGACGCUGAGGCGCGACAGCGUGGGGAGCAAACAGG